rnacentral:misc_RNA from 1 species
GACUAGCAACAACCAUUUCACGGUUUACCCAAAGAUGGAUGAACCAACCAAAACUGUGCAGCUGUGAUGGGAGAACAGAAUAGAUGUGUCCAUAAAAUCGGAACAAUGAUCUUCACUCUCUAAUUUCAUUAUAUAUGGCGGUGUUUUGAUUGGCACAUGACUAGAAGAGCAUGUCAUUAAGAAUAAAAUAAGAAGCUCAAAGUCGAA